CUACGGGACGCUGCAGUGAGGAAUAUUGCACAAUGGGGGGAACCCUGAUGCAGCAACGCCGCGUGGAGGAUGACGCAUUUCGGUGUGUAAACUCCUUUUAUAUGUCAAGAAAAUGACGGUAGCAUAUGAAUAAGCACCGGCUAACUCCGUGCCAGCAGCCGCGGUAAUACAGAGGGUGCAAGCGUUACUCGGAAUCACUGGGCGUAAAGGACGCGUAGGCGGGGUGGAAAGUCAGGUGUGAAAUCCUACAGCUUAACUGUAGAACUGCACUUGAAACUUCUAAUCUAGAGUAUGGGAGGGGGAGAUGGAAUUAGUGGUGUAGGGGUAAAAUCCGUAGAUAUCACUAGGAAUACCUAAAGCGAAGGCGAUCUCCUGGAACAUUACUGACGCUAAGGCGUGAAAGCGUGGGGAGCAAACAGGAUUAGAUACCCGUGUAGUC
rnacentral:rRNA from 1 species